CACAUUGAAACACUAGUACGACCACCGUAGUUAAGUAAUGUAGAGCCUGGUCAGUACUUAGAUGGGUCAUCGCUUGGGAAUAUCAGGUGCUGUAA